rnacentral:rRNA from 1 species
UUCAAAAACAUGUCCUUUUGUUUUUAUUUAAGGUCUAACCUGCCCAAUGAUUUAUUUAAUGGCCGCGGUAUUUUAACUGUGCUAAGGUAGCAUAAUCAUUUGUCUUUUAAUUGAAGGCUGGUAUGAAUGGUUGGACGAGGCAUAACCUUUCUUUAAUUUAAUUUAUGAAUUUAAUUUUUUAGUUAAAAAGCUAAAAUUUAUUUGUUGGACGAGAAGACCCUAUAGAUCUUUAUAUUUAGUUGUUCUAAUAAUUUGGUUUAUUUAUUAUUUAGAUUAAUGAAGGUAUUUGGUUGGGGUGACUCUGGAAUUUUAAUAACUUCUGUUUUUAUUUUUCAUUUAUUUAUGUUUAGUUGAUCCAUUAUUAAUGAUUAUAAGAUUAAGUUACCUUAGGGAUAACAGCGUAAUUCUUUCGGAGAGUUCAUAUCGAUGAAGGAGUUUGCGACCUCGAUGUUGGAUUAAAAUAAGUAGUAGAUGCAGUAGUUUACUAACUAGGUCUGUUCGACCUUUUAUUUUUUACAUGAUCUGAGUUC